GCUGCGGUAGCCUAGUGGUUAAGGCAGCGGACUCGGAUUUCGUUGGAUCGUGGUUUCGUGCCUUGAUGCCACUUAAGACCCGCCGUGUAGCC